CUUCUUUGAUUCUUUCUUACUUUUGCUUACAGAAAAACUGGAACCUCUUCAGCGUUAAUGUUGCUAUGGCAGGGACAGGCAUAUACCAGCUUGCUCGUAAAAUAAAGCACGAUUUCGCAACCGAAGCUGAGCCAGCUGUUGCGAACGAAUGAUUAUGAUGACGAAGCUGAGCACAUUCAAAAGGAAAACUGGAUAUCAUCUUGCUUCUGUUUGAAAGUUUAGUCCAAGAUAUUUUAUUUUCUUUGCAUUCCCAGAUCUUCUGGGUCGGAUUACAAUAUCGUUUUCAAGGUUUUUAAAGUAUUCUGGUUUGAUCUUUGUUCCAAUGAUAAAAGGAGAUCAAAAGCUCCCCUUCAUAUGCUGUUUUCAAAGUAAAAAGUACUCCACAGAGAAGUUAAAUGUAUGUGAUGUUGAAUCAAAUUGUUCAGACAAAAAGACCAGAAAUUUCCUAUGAA